CUUUAUGGCAACUGAACGACAUCCUACAAAGACAUAAUUUUUCAACAAACUAUGUUAAGGAUUUUGUCCACCUCUCUGCUUGGAAUUUUCAGUUCAGAUCAACGCGGAGGCAUCCCUGUCAAGAAGCAAGGCUCACUGGGUUAUGCAAUGUCCUGGCACGUUAAGAAGUCAUUACCUCCUCCUACACACAGUUCACAAGACACAAUGCAACAGGUGGAUGAAAGACAUGUUAUGUGGGGGUGUUUUGGAAAAAUGAGGCAACAACAAACCAAAGAGGACAGUGGAAAAGCAGCAGUCAUUGCGCCACCUGCUUUUAUUGGAGAGUUGAUUUUUCUGGCAGAUGUUUGGGAUUUGCUUGGAUUUGCAAACCACAUCUACAAGCAAGCAAAAAACAUAUAUACAUGCAUUGAGAUAAAAAAAAAAAGGGUAAGCAAUUGAACCUCAGCAAGCAAGGAACAGUAUCCCAUAAUGGCACAUUUGGGUAUGUGGGUAGAUCAUGACGUGUAGCCUAUACAGGCAUUCUGUAUUACAGUAUAGCUAGUUGCACACAAUUCUGUGCACUCCCUUCUGCUGCAAGCACCUAAGACAAAGGCUACAGGAACUCGUGUUUACAGAGCACAACACAGAAACCCACAAUCCCAGGCAGUCCCUGUAUGAUACACAGACAUUACAGAUACCUCCUGCCAGGCUGGGUUUAUGUUUUUCUUUUAAAAUCAGACUUCUCACAACUCCGCAGAUAGGCCAAACAUGUCAGCCGAGAGCACGGCUGCAGAGGUGCUGGGAACCCACACAGUUUGAAGUUGAGGAGAAUCGCUGUGCUCAGAACUCACAGAACCAUUUCGUUUCCACGUAUGCAGCUCCACGCCGGGCUGCGUGUCUGCACAUGGCUAAUUGGUUUUUAAAUCCUGAGUACUGGCAACAAACAGACAUGUGGAAUACGUUUAUGCAGUGUGCGUUGCCAUAUCACCCGGGGCAGCAUCACAUGGGAUUUGACACUGUGGGCGGGUUUGGGGUUUGGCAAUCCUUGGAUGAGAAACCCACAAGAUCCUGCGAGAGAUAAGUUUGGGUAUUUGUGCUCUCAGUGCUGCUACACAGAAACUCAGACGCCACCAUAAGCCCUGUAGCACUCUUCCAAAAAUAAUGGCCAUCUCAUCCAGUGAGCACGAAGAACGGCUGGCUGUUCCUGUCCCUGUGCCCCAGUGAGGUCAUUUCCUCACAAGGAGCCGUGUAAUGCCACAGCUCAGCAUCUGGGGGCUCGUCAGUGACAGCUUGGUGGGGAAGAGUGUGAAACGGUGGGUAGGGAAGGUGGGAGUUUGUGUACAGAAACUGUGAGUUCCCUGUGCCUUGUUGCCUGGAGGGGAGGACAGGCUGAGCAGUGCCAGUCAGCAUCAGCUGGAGGACAAAAAGAAGGCAGAACAAAACAGAACCUGUGUCCUGAGGUCUCUGAAAGAGCAACGUGAGAGGAUGAGGAGACAAAGGCUGGAAGGAAUCACAGCCACAAUAUGCAGAGAUUAUUAG